rnacentral:tRNA from 1 species
UGGGGACUCGUCUAAUGGUAGGACAGCGGACUCUGACUCCGUAUGUGGGGGUUCAAAUCCCUCGUCCCCAG